GAGUUUGAUCCUGGCUCAGGAUGAACGCUGGCGGCGUGCUUAACACAUGCAAGUCGAACGGACUCAUAUUGAAACCUAGCGAUUUAUGAGUUAGUGGCGGACGGGUGAGUAACGCGUGGAUAACCUGCCGUAUACCGGGGGAUAACACUUAGAAAUAGGUGCUAAUACCGCAUAAGCGCACGGCUCCGCAUGGGGCAGUGUGAAAAACUCCGGUGGUAUACGAUGGAUCCGCGUCUGAUUAGCUAGUUGGCGGGGUAACGGCCCACCAAGGCAGCGAUCAGUAGCCGGCCUGAGAGGGUGGACGGCCACAUUGGGACUGAGACACGGCCCAAACUCCUACGGGAGGCAGCAGUGGGGAAUAUUGCACAAUGGGGGAAACCCUGAUGCAGCGACGCCGCGUGAGUGAAGAAGUAUCUCGGUACGUAAAGCUCUAUCAGCAGGGAAGAAAAUGACGGUACCUGACCAAGAAGCCCCGGCUAACUACGUGCCAGCAGCCGCGGUAAUACGUAGGGGGCAAGCGUUAUCCGGAUUUACUGGGUGUAAAGGGAGCGUAGACGGCAGCACAAGUCUGGAGUGAAAUCCCGGGGCUUAACCCCGGAACUGCUUUGGAAACUGUGCGGCUGGAGUGCAGGAGGGGUAAGCGGAAUUCCUAGUGUAGCGGUG
rnacentral:rRNA from 1 species